CAGAGUUCAUGCCCUCACGGGUAGAUCUCCCAUCCUUGAAUAUUAUACCUUAGUUGCUUUUGCAGGCCGGGGCAACCCCCGGGGCUUCGGCAUUGGUGUGCCUGCCAGAGGAAACAAACUCUGUUUUUAGUGAUGUCUGAGUACUAUAUAAUAGUUAAAACUUUC
rnacentral:misc_RNA from 1 species